GAUGAACGCUAGCGGCAGGCUUAAUACAUGCAAGUCGAGGGGCAUCAAGGUACACGAAAGCGUAUUGUUGGCGACCGGCGGACGGGUGAGUAAUAGGUAGGUAACCUACCUCAUACUGAGGCAUAGCUGGGAGAAAUUCCAGGUAAUUCCUCAUGAGGUUAUAUGACACAUGUGAUAUAAUCAAAGGUAUCGCAAGGUACUGGUAUGAGAUGGGCUUACUGACCAUUAGCUAGUUGGUGAGAUAAGAGCUCACCAAGGCGAAGAUGGUUAGGGGUUUUGAGAGAGAGAUCCCCCACAUUGGAACUGAGAUACGGUCCAGACUCCUACGGGAGGCAGCAGUAGGGAAUAUUGGGCAAUGGGCGGAAGCCUGACCCAGCCAUGCCGCGUGAAGGAAGACGGCCUUAUGGGUUGUAAACUUCUUUACUAUGCGACUAACUAGAUUUACGAGAUAAUUCUAUAGAAUGUAGCAUAGCAAAAAGCAACC
rnacentral:rRNA from 1 species